CGUGGGGCAGCGUUGGGCUCGACCCAACCCUCCUUCCAACUCCACCCCCAACCCUUUUUGUUUUUUUCUCUCUGCGCUUGUACCACGUCAGACCAAAUGGCCACAGUGCGGACAACAAGAGAUAAAGAUCUUUCACAGUAAAGCAAGAAAACAAACCUUGCAAGUGCAAGUCGUCCUCCACAUGAGCGCACUCGUAUGGUAGUAAAAGUGUUGGCGGAGCAACACCUCUAGCUCUUUCUCUAAAGGGGAAAAGAAACAGAGCG
rnacentral:lncRNA from 1 species